rnacentral:rRNA from 1 species
ACAAUGGCGUAAACAAAGGGAAGCGAAACCGCGAGGUCAAGCAAAUCCCAAAAAUAACGUCCCAGUUCGGACUGUAGUCUGCAACCCGACUACACGAAGCCGGAAUCGCUAGUAAUCGCGAAUCAGAAUGUCGCGGUGAAUACGUUCCCGGGUCUUGUACACACCGCCCGUCACACCAUGGGAGUCGGAAAUGCCCGAAGCCGGUGACUCAACCUUUAAGGAGAGAGCCGUCGAAGGCAGGUCUGAUAACUGGGGUGAAGUCGUAACAAGGUAAC